CCAUUGCAGGCUAAUCAAGUGCUUCUGCUGUUGCUUUUUCCUGUGGCAGAGAGCUGGAGGAAGCAAUCAGGAGCAAGCAGGAGGCUCUGAAAGAACUGGAGGCAGAAGAAAGUGUGGGAUCUCCAAGAAAGAACGCUGAGCUCCGUGUUGAAGACCUGAGAGGAACUACUCAAGCUCACUCGUCCAGAGAGCCUUCCCCAGCCUGUCAGAGUCCCGAGGAGGGUGAGCUCCAGUUUGAUCGUGUCCAGAGCUACAUCUCCACUGAAGGGCAGUCCCUGAGGAGUGCCAAGGAGUUCCUGCUGCGCCAGAGCUGCU
rnacentral:lncRNA from 1 species